rnacentral:rRNA from 1 species
UACGAAGGGGGCUAGCGUUGUUCGGAAUUACUGGGCGUAAAGCGCACGUAGGCGGAUUGUUAAGUUAGGGGUGAAAUCCCGGGGCUCAACCCCGGAACUGCCUUUAAUACUGGCAAUCUCGAGUCCGAGAGAGGUGAGUGGAAUUCCGAGUGUAGAGGUGAAAUUCGUAGAUAUUCGGAGGAACACCAGUGGCGAAGGCGGCUCACUGGCUCAGUACUGACGCUGAGGUGCGAAAGCGUGGGGAGCAAACAGG